GCGUUCGAUCAUACCAGCGUUAUUGAACUGGAUUCCAUCAGAACUCCUUAGUUGAGCGCGCUUGGGCUAGAGUAGUACUGGGUUGGGUGACCUCUCGUGAAGUCCUAGUGGUGAACCCU
rfam:Picea glauca, whole genome shotgun sequence.